ACUGUCUCUGUUCAUAUCCUGGUGGCCUACCUAGAGAAGUAUAUUAUUUCUUUCAGACAGAGGUAGUUUCAGCUUCUCUCUUUAAUGUUGAUAUUCAACAUUCAAGUUUAACCACAUUUUCCACUAAUAUCCUCCUUAAAGCAACACCAUAAACACCAAAACAGCUUUAGCUUAAUGAAGUUUGUUUAUUGUAGAUCAUGCCCCUGCUCGGUUCUGACAUUUAGGAG